GAUGAACGCUGGCGGCGUGCCUAAUACAUGCAAGUCGAACGCUUUGUGGUUCAACUGAUUUGAAGAGCUUGCUCAGAUAUGACGAUGGACAUUGCAAAGAGUGGCGAACGGGUGAGUAACACGUGGGAAACCUACCUCUUAGCAGGGGAUAACAUUUGGAAACAGAUGCUAAUACCGUAUAUCAAUGACAACCGCAUGGUUGUUAUUUAAAAGAUGGUUCUGCUAUCACUAAGAGAUGGUCCCGCGGUGCAUUAGCUAGUUGGUAAGGUAAUGGCUUACCAAGGCGAUGAUGCAUAGCCGAGUUGAGAGACUGAUCGGCCACAAUGGGACUGAGACACGGCCCAUACUCCUACGGGAGGCAGCAGUAGGGAAUCUUCCACAAUGGGCGAAAGCCUGAUGGAGCAACGCCGCGUGUGUGAUGAAGGGUUUCGGCUCGUAAAACACUGUUGUAAGAGAAGAAUGACAUUGAGAGUAACUGUUCAAUGUGUGACGGUAUCUUACCAGAAAGGAACGGCUAAAUACGUGCCAGCAGCCGCGGUAAUACGUAUGUUCCAAGCGUUAUCCGGAUUUAUUGGGCGUAAAGCGAGCGCAGACGGUUAUUUAAGUCUGAAGUGAAAGCCCUCAGCUCAACUGAGGAAUUGCUUUGGAAACUGGAUGACUUGAGUGCAGUAGAGGAAAGUGGAACUCCAUGUGUAGCGGUGAAAUGCGUAGAUAUAUGGAAGAACACCAGUGGCGAAGGCGGCUUUCUGGACUGUAACUGACGUUGAGGCUCGAAAGUGUGGGUAGCAAACAGGAUUAGAUACCCUGGUAGUCCACACCGUAAACGAUGAGUGCUAGGUGUUUGAGGGUUUCCGCCCUUAAGUGCCGCAGCUAACGCAUUAAGCACUCCGCCUGGGGAGUACGACCGCAAGGUUGAAACUCAAAGGAAUUGACGGGGACCCGCACAAGCGGUGGAGCAUGUGGUUUAAUUCGAAGCAACGCGAAGAACCUUACCAAGUCUUGACAUCCCUUGACAACUCCAGAGAUGGAGCGUUCCCUUCGGGGACAAGGUGACAGGUGGUGCAUGGUUGUCGUCAGCUCGUGUCGUGAGAUGUUGGGUUAAGUCCCGCAACGAGCGCAACCCUUAUUACUAGUUGCCAGCAUUCAGUUGGGCACUCUAGUGAGACUGCCGGUGACAAACCGGAGGAAGGUGGGGAUGACGUCAAAUCAUCAUGCCCCUUAUGACCUGGGCUACACACGUGCUACAAUGGCGUAUACAACGAGUUGCCAACCCGCGAGGGUGAGCUAAUCUCUUAAAGUACGUCUCAGUUCGGAUUGUAGGCUGCAACUCGCCUACAUGAAGUCGGAAUCGCUAGUAAUCGCGGAUCAGCACGCCGCGGUGAAUACGUUCCCGGGUCUUGUACACACCGCCCGUCACACCAUGAGAGUUUGUAACACCCAAAGCCGGUGGGGUAACCUUCGGGAGCCAGCCGUCUAAGGUGGGACAGAUGAUUAGGGUG
rnacentral:rRNA from 1 species